rnacentral:rRNA from 1 species
CAGCCGCCGCGGUAAUACGAAGGGGGCUAGCGUUGUUCGGAUUUACUGGGCGUAAAGGGCGCGUAGGCGGACUGAUAAGUCAGGGGUGAAAUCCCAAGGCUCAACCUUGGAACUGCCUUUGAUACUGUUUGUCUUGAGUUCGAGAGUGGUAAGUGGAACUGCGAGUGUAGAGGUGAAAUUCGUAGAUAUUCGCAAGAACACCAGUGGCGAAGGCGGCUUACUGGCUCGAAACUGACGCUGAGGCGCGAAAGCGUGGGGAGCAAACAGGAUUAGAUACCCCCGUAGUCCCUGUCUCUUAUAC